GAGCUUUGUCGUCUCGUGAGUGAAGAAGCAGGUAAACUGUAAGGGAGUGAGUAGUUCAGAUCACUGCUAACCAAAAGGAAGAAAAUUAAAAGCUCAUUAUUCUCUCCCUUAAACAAUUGGUAUCAUUCACAUUCAUUCUUUGCUUCCUCCUUUUAUGUCACGAGAUCCCCAUCGCUCCUUUCUUUUUCUUUUUCUUUCUCUUUCACUCUUUCAUGUUUUGUUCUUUUUCUUCUAGUUUUACACUGUUAUCAUAGAGAAACAACAAACCAGAGGGUCUGUUUAAUUUAUAAUGUCACAUUCAAAGAAAUCCUUACUAGACAUAAACUUUGAUUCCCCAACCAACCGAUUUGCUAACUCGCUCACCUUCAACGACGACAACAACAAGCCAGAUUUCAAAGAACUCGAUCUGGGUUCACCUGUUUCACCUUUGCUAACCCGUGCCUCUGUUACUAACGCCAGUGGUGUCACCACAUCUAGCAGCAGCUCCAGCUCUUCUGGUUCAGCCUCUGCCAAAAGCAAUAGCAAUACCACUCCUCAAUUGCCUAAAGACAAAACAAAAAAUCACUCGGGUGAGCUCUCCGGAUCACCCGGAUCCGGCCCAACUCCACGUAAUUUCAAACCGGGUCACCGGAGAUCAGUCUCUGCUGGUCCGCCAUUGAUCUAUUCUGGUUCGAGUUUCAGUACCGUGAGUAGUAGUGGCAGUAUCUCCAAUGGAAAUGGAGCACAUUCCGUUUCUUCAAAUCCCAACGCCGCAAGUGUGCUCCCAAAUGGCAACAUUUGUCCAUCUGGAAAGAUCCUUAAAAUUGGCAUGGUGUCUCGUGUCUCUAACAGAACUGACACGUUAGGUACGGGCACGGGAAACUACGGACACGGCAGCAUAAUGCGUGGUCAUAGCAAUUGUAAUAACAAUAAUCAUAAUAAUAAUGCGAAAUUAGGUAAUGCAGUGGAUGCUGAGGAGGUGAAGAGGGCAGGCAAUGAGAUGUAUAAAAAGGGUAAUUUUGUUGAGGCUUUGAAGUUGUACGAUAAGGCCAUAUUUAUGUCGCCUGAAAACGCCGCGUAUAGGAGCAACAGGGCGGCGGCUUUGACUGCGGUGGGGAGGUUGAGUGAGGCUGUUUCCGAGUGUGAGGAGGCUGUCAGACUGGACCCUGCUUAUAUGAGGGCUCACCAGAGGUUGGCUUCUCUUUAUCUUAGAUUAGGGCAGGCUGAGAAUGUCCGACGUCACCUCUUUUUUCCUGGCCAACACCUGGAUCCUGCUGAGUUGCAUAAGUUGCAAUUAUCUGAGAAGCAUCUAAAUAGAUGUGCAGAUAGCAGGAAGAUUGGCGAUUGGAAGGGUGUUGUCAGGGAAACUGAUGCAGCAAUGGCAAUUGGAGUAGACUCCUCUCCUCAGCUUGUCGCUUGCAAAGCUGAAGCCCUGUUGAAACUCCUGCAAAUUGAAGAUGCAGAUUCUUGCCUGUCAAACAUGCCUAAAUUUGAACAUUAUCCUCCUGCAUCGCAAGUUAAGUUCUUUGGUAUGGUUGCAGAAGCUUAUGUGCUCUAUGUACGAGCACAGGUCGAGAUGGCACUAGGAAGAUUUGAGAAUGCAGUUUCGGCAGCAGACAAAGCUGUGCUUGUUGAUAGCAGUAAUUUAGAAAUUGCAGCAGUGUUAAAGAAUGUGAAAAUGGUGGUAAGAGCUCGUACUUGUGGUAAUGAGCUUUUCAGUUCUGGAAGAUACGCAGAAGCAUGCUCAGCUUAUGGGGAAGGCCUUAAGUAUGAUAGUUGCAACUCUGUUCUCUAUUGUAAUAGAGCAGUUUGUUGGGCCAAGCUUGGGUUUUAUGAAAAAUCCAUAGAGGACUGCAACGAAGCCCUAAAAAUUCAACCAAAUUACAAAAAGGCUCUUCUUCGUAGGGCUGCCUCAAAUGGAAAGCUUGGGUGGUGGUCAGAGGCCCUCAGAGAUUACGAGGCUUUGAGGAAAGAACAUCCUGGAGACAAUGAGGUUGCUGAAUCUCUGCACCAUGCACAAGUUGCAUUGAGGAAAUCUUGUGGGGAGUUCACAAAUAACAUGAAAUUGGGUGGUGAGGUAGGAGAGGUUUCAAGCCUAGAAAAAUACAAAGCUGCUAUAUCAUCACCUGGUGUUUCUGUAGUACAUUUUAAAAUAGAAUCCAGCAAAAAGUGUGAAGAAAUAUCCCCAUUCGUAAAUACACUCUGCAUGCGAUAUCCAUCGGUGCAUUUUCUUAAGGUGGAUGUCGAGGAGAGUUUGGCAGUAGCAAAAUCAGAGGGAAUAAGAACCAUUCCAACUUUUAAGAUUUACAAGAAUGGGGAUAAGGUGAAGGAGAUGAUCUGCCCAAGCCAUCAAAUCUUGGAGGAAUCAGUGAGAAGUUUUAGUCUAUAGAAUACAUAUUCGUUCAUGUUUUGUGAUGGCUCAAGCCCCCACUUCUAAUGAUGAUGCUAGUUUUGUUUUAGUGUCUGAAGAAAAGCUGGAAAACAGCAGUACAAUUGAAAUCUAUGAUCCAUUCCCUCUAGUUUUAAUGUGUUGUUGAUGGAGAGAGAUGGGGAGAUCUGAUCUGGCUGGUUGGUGACGCUGUUGAAUUGUUGGAUUCCUGCUGGAUUGUACUGAAAAGAGGGUGAAUUAUUGAUGUUUUUAUAUCCCUUGACAUCUUCAUGUCAACUUUUUCACCUUUUUCUGCCUCCUCAAUAUUCGUUUUCACCCAGCUGAGUUUUGAUUAAAUAUUCUCACUUUAGUUUUCUUUUUUCUUUUUUCUGUUAGGCUGUACUAUAAUUCUC